AGAGUUUGAUCAUGGCUCAGGAUGAACGCUAGCGGCAGGCUUAAUACAUGCAAGUCGUGGGGCAGCAUGGGGUAGCAAUACCCUGAUGGCGACCGGCAAACGGGUGCGGAACACGUACGCAACCUUCCUUUAACUGGAGAAUAGCCCCUCGAAAGAGGGAUUAAUACUCCGUAACAUGAUGAUAAGGCAUCUUAUUAUUAUUAUAGCUCCGGCGGUUAGAGAUGGGCGUGCGCCUGAUUAGGUAGUUGGCGGGGUAACGGCCCACCAAGCCUGCGAUCAGUAACUGGUGUGAGAGCACGACCAGUCACACGGGCACUGAGACACGGGCCCGACUCCUACGGGAGGCAGCAGUAAGGAAUAUUGGUCAAUGGACGCAAGUCUGAACCAGCCAUGCCGCGUGGAGGAUUAAGGCCCUCUGGGUUGUAAACUCCUUUUAUCUGGGAAGAAAUCCACAUAUUCUUAUGUGGUUGACGGUACCAGAGGAAUAAGCACCGGCUAACUCCGUGCCAGCAGCCGCGGUAAUACGGAGGGUGCAAGCGUUAUCCGGAUUCACUGGGUUUAAAGGGUGCGUAGGCGGGUAAGUAAGUCCGUGGUGAAAUCUCUGAGCUUAACUCAGAAACUGCCGUGGAUACUAUUUGCCUUGAAUAUUGUGGAGGUGAGCGGAAUAUGUCAUGUAGCGGUGAAAUGCUUAGAUAUGACAUAGAACACCAAUUGCGAAGGCAGCUCACUACACAAUCAUUGACGCUGAGGCACGAAAGCGUGGGGAUCAAACAGGAUUAGAUACCCUAGUAGUCC
rnacentral:rRNA from 1 species